AUACACACACACAUACACACAUGUAGGAGGGAAGAAACGAGCUCGCAAGAAUCGUCUCAUGUGUGCUUGCAAGUACACGAAUGGGUAAGCUAACCGAUACAAUAUAAAGGAGUAGAAAAGCGAGAAGGCUAAACCAAAUUUACUUUUGACAAUAUGUAUACGUAUGUAUAUAUCUAACUUCAAUUUAUAUCACCUUGAUAUUAUAACCCCCCCUCCCCCUUCCCCUUCAAAAAAAAAUACGUAGGAAGGAAAAGAAGAACGAAGAACAAAACUUCAAACUUACCAAUUAAAUCCUUUUUUUCCAUUUUUAUUUAAUUUUGUUGAUUUCAUCAACAGACGUAAUACGAGCAUUUAGAAUCAUCGACGAAUCGAUAAACGCAACUACGAUCCUACUGUAUAAUCCAUGAGUUAUGGGGUUAAUUCGUUCGUUUAUGGUUUUAAUGGAAUUUCGUUCUCUUAGAUUCUGGUUCGUUUCUCACGCGUAGUAUUUUACAAAUGAAAAAGAGAAAAGAAAAUGAUGCUUUUUUAUUUGUCGGGAUCGUUAAUUCCUUCUUUUGUUAGCGUACAAAUAAUUCCAUUGAAUUUCGUAGAUUGUUAUUGGCAUUUGAGAAAUACUAAAUUAAACUAUUCCUUUGUGUUCCGUUAAAACAGUAGUAGUAGUAUUGUAGAUCCAAGAUUUACCAUUCGUUUUCUUAUAUUUUUUUCUUCUUUCCGAAUAAAUUUCAAGCAGCUUAAGAUUAUCAUAAAAAAGAUAAAAGAAGUUAGAAAAUUAUUUAAUCUUUUUCGCAUAAGUUUCAGGUGAAUUUUGUUAUCGCGUAGUCGUGCAACGUUUGCAAGAGCUUUUACGCGUGUCUUUUCACGAAAGAAAUAUGUUUCGUAACGUAGCAAAUUAAUUUAUUUACAUGUAUGCGUUUUAUACUACACGCGAGUUAACAUUUUUCCUUUUAUAUUUUGCUAUAUCUCGGAGAAAGAAAAAAGAAAAGAACAAAAAAAGAAAUGAAAUAAACAGGAUAUCCUCUUGGCUAUUGAAAAUAAUUUGAUGACGGUUAAAAAGCAAACUUUCUCGGCUCCGACUAUGAUUUCAUUAACGAGCAGGAUAAUGAAGGAGUUUGGGGAAUACGUUUAUAACAUCGGAAAUGGGAGAAAAGAGCCGAAUAUUGGAAUGUUACACGUACGCCGCUCGAAUUAAGGGGUUAAUAAUAUAAAAUUGAAUAAACUUACGUGAAAAUGACGUGAAAUAUAUCACCGAUGAGACCGUUGUGAUGCAAAGGAUGUUCAGAAUUUUCGCAUAUGGUCUUCAAUAGGCAUUCCCUUCCAAGAUAUCCAGAACUAAAUAGUCGGGAGAGAAAGAAAGAAAAAAGAAAAAU
rnacentral:lncRNA from 1 species